rnacentral:rRNA from 1 species
UACGUAGGGAGCAAGCGUUGUCCGGAAUCAUUGGGCGUAAAGCGCGCGUAGGUGGCUUCGUAAGUCCGUUGUGAAAGUCAAAGGCUCAACCUUUGAAUGCCGAUGGAUACUGCGGAGCUAGAGUACGGAAGAGGCGAGUGGAAUUCCUGGUGUAGCGGUGGAAUGCGUAGAGAUCGGGAAGAACAUCAGUGGCGAAGGCGGCCUGCUGGGCUGUUGCUGACGCUGAGGCGCGACAGCGUGGGGAGCAAACAGG